rnacentral:piRNA from 1 species
UAUCUGUUGCCAUCAGUUUCUGGACAAUGC